rnacentral:rRNA from 1 species
CACUCCUACGGGAGGCAGCAGUGGGGAAUAUUGGACAAUGGGCGCAAGCCUGAUCCAGCCAUGCCGCGUGAGUGAUGAAGGCCCUAGGGUUGUAAAGCUCUUUCACCGGUGAAGAUAAUGACGGUAACCGGAGAAGAAGCCCCGGCUAACUUCGUGCCAGCAGCCGCGGUAAUACGAAGGGGGCUAGCGUUGUUCGGAUUUACUGGGCGUAAAGCGCACGUAGGCGGACUAUUAAGUCAGGGGUGAAAUCCCGGGGCUCAACCCCGGAACUGCCUUUGAUACUGGUAGUCUUGAGUUCGAGAGAGGUGAGUGGAAUUCCGAGUGUAGAGGUGAAAUUCGUAGAUAUUCGGAGGAACACCAGUGGCGAAGGCGGCUCACUGGCUCGAUACUGACGCUGAGGUGCGAAAGCGUGGGGAGCAAACAGGAUUAGAAACCCCGGUAGUCCCAUG